rnacentral:tRNA from 1 species
GCACUUGUAGCUCAAUGGAUAGAGCAACGGUCUUCGGAACCGUAGGUUGGGGGUUCGAGUCCCUCCAAGUGCG